CUAGCCAUGGCAUAGAGGUUUGAGCGCUGGACUACUACUCUAGAGAUCAGGAUUCAAAACCCUGCUUGGCUAUG